UACGGAGGAUCCGAGCGUUAUCCGGAUUUAUUGGGUUUAAAGGGUGCGCAGGCGGGGGAUUAAGUCGGCGGUGAAAUUUUGCAGCUUAACUGUAACAGUGCCGUUGAUACUGGGGAGCUAGGAUUUGGUUGCUGUGGGUGGAAUGUGUGGUGUAGCGGUGAAAUGCUUAGAGAUCACACAGAAUAUCGAUUGCGAAGGCAGCUCACAAAGCCAAGAUUGACGCUGAGGCACGAAAGUGUGGGGAUCAAACAGGAUUAGAUA
rnacentral:rRNA from 1 species